rnacentral:rRNA from 1 species
CCUACGGGAGGCUGCAGUGGGGAAUAUUGCACAAUGGGGGAAACCCUGAUGCAGCGACGCCGCGUGAGUGAAGAAGUAUUUCGGUACGUAAAGCUCUAUCAGCAGGGAAGAAAAUGACGGUACCUGACUAAGAAGCCCCGGCUAACUACGUGCCAGCAGCCGCGGUAAUACGUAGGGGGCAAGCGUUAUCCGGAUUUACUGGGUGUAAAGGGAGCGUAGACGGCAGCGCAAGUCUGGAGUGAAAUCCCAUGGCUUAACCAUGGAACUGCUAUGGAUACUGUGCAGCUAGAGUGCAGGAGAGGUAAGCGGAAUUCCUAGUGUAGCGGUGAAAUGCGUAGAUAUUAGGAGGAACACCAAUGGCGAAGGCGGCUUACUGGACUGUAACUGACGUUGAGGCACGAAAGCGUGGGGAGCAAACAGGAUUAGAUACCCCAGUAGUC